rnacentral:rRNA from 1 species
CAUGCACGUCUAAGUACAAACUAAAUGAUGGUGAAACUGCAAAUGGCUCAUUACAACGGUUAUGAUGUACCCGGGAGUUCCGAUGGAUAUUUCCAGUAACACUAGAACUAAUACAUGUCCCUGCGUUUAUUAGUUUCGCACAGUCCGUCGCUGAGUCAUGGUAAACAGUUGAUCGACUCGACGUCCCGGAACAGUUUCCGCCCCAUCAGCUUCGAUGGUUGGGUAUUGGCCUACCAUUGCAACAACGGGUAACGAGGAAUUAGGGUUUGAUUUCGGAGAGGGAGCCUGAGAAACGGCUGCCACAUCUACGGAUGGCAGCAGGCGCGCAAAUUACCCAAUGCAGACACUGUGAGGUAGUGACGAGAAAUAAUAAAGCGGGACUUCUGUUUCGCUAUUAUAAUGAGGAAUAACCAAAGGUCAUUCCGAUUAGCAACUGAUGGGAAAGUCUGGUGCCAGCAGCCGCGGUAAUACCAGCGUCAGUAGCAUAUAUUAAAAUUGUUGCAGUUAAAACGUCCGUAGUCUGUACGUCGUCCCAAACUCACUGCAGUCUUCCGUUUUCUUAAUUGAAUGCGGUAGUUUCUGCAGUCACUCCCUUGAUCAAAUUAGGUUGUUCAAGGUAGACCAAGUCUUCAUAUUUUCACAUGGAAUUGGGUGAGGGAACUUAAGAGUUUAAGUUUCUCGUCUUAGGAUCAUCCGGGGUCAUUCGUACUCGUCCGCGAGAGGUGAAAUUCUUGGACCGGACGAAGACGACCAGCAGCGAAAGCAUCUGUCAGGGAUGUUUUCUGCGACAAAGGACGAAGGUCAGG